GACGAACGCUGGCGGCGUGCCUAAUACAUGCAAGUAGAACGCUGAAGAGAGGAGCUUGCUCUUCUUGGAUGAGUUGCGAACGGGUGAGUAACGCGUAGGUAACCUGCCUUGUAGCGGGGGAUAACUAUUGGAAACGAUAGCUAAUACCGCAUAACAAUGGAUGACCCAUGUCAUUUAUUUGAAAGGGGCAAAUGCUCCACUACAAGAUGGACCUGCGUUGUAUUAGCUAGUAGGUGAGGUAACGGCUCACCUAGGCGACGAUACAUAGCCGACCUGAGAGGGUGAUCGGCCACACUGGGACUGAGACACGGCCCAGACUCCUACGGGAGGCAGCAGUAGGGAAUCUUCGGCAAUGGGGGCAAACCUGACCGAGCAACGCCGCGUGAGUGAAGAAGGUUUUCGGAUCGUAAAGCUCUGUUGUAAGUCAAGAACGAGUGUGAGAGUGGAAAGUUCACACUGUGACGGUAGCUUACCAGAAAGGGACGGCUAACUACGUG
rnacentral:rRNA from 1 species